GCCGGGCGCAGUGGCUCACGCCUGUAAUCCCAGCACUUUGGGAGGCUGAGGUGGGUGGAUCACUUGAGGUCAGGAGUUCAAGACCAGCCUGGCCAACAUAGUGAAACCCCAUCUCUA
rfam:Homo sapiens chromosome 12, GRCh38 reference primary assembly.